GGAAGGUUGAGACCACACCACACUAGUGGAGGAUGGUUGAGACCACACCACACUAGUGGAGGAAGGUUGAGACCACACCACACUAGUGGAGGAAGGUUGAGACCACACCACACUAGUGGAGGAAGGUUGAGACCACACCACACUAGUGGAGGAAGGUUGAGACCACACCACACUAGUGGAGGAAGGUUGAGACCACACCACACUAGUGGAGGAAGGUUGAGACCACACCACACUAGUGGAGGAAGGUUGAGACCACACCACACUAGUGGAGGAAGGUUGAGACCACACCACACUAGUGGAGGAAGGUUGAGACCACACCACACUAGUGGAGGAAGGUUGAGACCACACCACACUAGUGGAGGAAGGUUGAGACCACACCACACUAGUGGAGGAAGGUUGAGACCACACCACACUAGUGGAGGAAGGUUGAGACCACACCACACUAGUGGAGGAAGGUUGAGACCACACCACACUAGUGGAGGAAGGUUGAGACCACACCACACUAGUGGAGGAAGGCAGAGACCACACCACACCAGUGGAGGAAGGUUGAGACCACACCACACCAGUGGAAAAAGGUUGAGACCACACCACACUAGUGUAGGAAGGUUGAGACCACACCACACAGGUGGAGGAAGGUUGAGGCCACACCACACCGAGGCCACACCACACUAAUGGAGGAAGGAUACCGCCACAGCACACUAGUGGAGGAAGGCCACACCACACCACACCAUACAAAUAGAACAAGGUUUA